rnacentral:misc_RNA from 1 species
CGCAGAACCAUUUUAUUUGAAUCUGAUAUUCAAACUGUACUUAAAUUACAACAUUAAAAGAUGGGACAUCUAAACAUAAUGUGCUACUCAUUUGGGAAAGGAUAUUUCCCUAAGACCUAGGUAGAUGAAAUAUAGAGCUAAACAUUCAGAAUGAGAUCCAUGAAGCACCAACCCUAUCCCGAGGAAUUAGGCGUAGUUCAGACCCAUGUUUAAGAAAGACGUUACCUGCACUUUGUUGAGGAUUAAUUCCGACACCAUCAUUAGUUAUGAUGGCGCUUGUUUGAGGAGGGACUUUGAAUUCCUCAGCCGCAAAUUUGAGAACAGCGGUGAACGGAGCUGCCUCCGGAACGCUAAAAACUUUAAAUGGCAAUUUGGGAUCGGAAGUUAGAGUGACUUUGAACGACACUUUUCCGCUGCCACCAGCACCACCGCCACUCGCCAUUAUUCCUCUUGUUUCCGAUACUGCAACGGGAAUUUUUCUGUGUUUUG